rnacentral:rRNA from 1 species
AGAGUUUGAUCCUGGCUCAGAUUGAACGCUGGCGGCAGGCCUAACACAUGCAAGUCGAGCGGUAGCACAGAGAGCUUGCUCUCGGGUGACGAGCGGCGGACGGGUGAGUAAUGUCUGGGAAACUGCCUGAUGGAGGGGGAUAACUACUGGAAACGGUAGCUAAUACCGCAUAACGUCGCAAGACCAAAGUGGGGGACCUUCGGGCCUCAUGCCAUCAGAUGUGCCCAGAUGGGAUUAGCUAGUAGGUGGGGUAACGGCUCACCUAGGCGACGAUCCCUAGCUGGUCUGAGAGGAUGACCAGCCACACUGGAACUGAGACACGGUCCAGACUCCUACGGGAGGCAGCAGUGGGGAAUAUUGCACAAUGGGCGCAAGCCUGAUGCAGCCAUGCCGCGUGUGUGAAGAAGGCCUUCGGGUUGUAAAGCACUUUCAGCGGGGAGGAAGGCGUUAAGGUUAAUAACCUUGGCGAUUGACGUUACCCGCAGAAGAAGCACCGGCUAACUCCGUGCCAGCAGCCGCGGUAAUACGGAGGGUGCAAGCGUUAAUCGGAAUUACUGGGCGUAAAGCGCACGCAGGCGGUCUGUCAAGUCGGAUGUGAAAUCCCCGGGCUCAACCUGGGAACUGCAUUCGAAACUGGCAGGCUAGAGUCUUGUAGAGGGGGGUAGAAUUCCAGGUGUAGCGGUGAAAUGCGUAGAGAUCUGGAGGAAUACCGGUGGCGAAGGCGGCCCCCUGGACAAAGACUGACGCUCAGGUGCGAAAGCGUGGGGAGCAAACAGGAUUAGAUACCCUGGUAGUCCACGCCGUAAACGAUGUCGACUUGGAGGUUGUGCCCUUGAGGCGUGGCUUCCGGAGCUAACGCGUUAAAUCGACCGCCUGGGGAGUACGGCCGCAAGGUUAAAACUCAAAUGAAUUGACGGGGGCCCGCACAAGCGGUGGAGCAUGUGGUUUAAUUCGAUGCAACGCGAAGAACCUUACCUGGUCUUGACAUCCACAGAACUUUCCAGAGAUGGAUUGGUGCCUUCGGGAACUGUGAGACAGGUGCUGCAUGGCUGUCGUCAGCUCGUGUUGUGAAAUGUUGGGUUAAGUCCCGCAACGAGCGCAACCCUUAUCCUUUGUUGCCAGCGGUUCGGCCGGGAACUCAAAGGAGACUGCCAGUGAUAAACUGGAGGAAGGUGGGGAUGACGUCAAGUCAUCAUGGCCCUUACGACCAGGGCUACACACGUGCUACAAUGGCAUAUACAAAGAGAAGCGACCUCGCGAGAGCAAGCGGACCUCAUAAAGUAUGUCGUAGUCCGGAUUGGAGUCUGCAACUCGACUCCAUGAAGUCGGAAUCGCUAGUAAUCGUAGAUCAGAAUGCUACGGUGAAUACGUUCCCGGGCCUUGUACACACCGCCCGUCACACCAUGGGAGUGGGUUGCAA